rnacentral:rRNA from 1 species
CAAGUCGAGGGGCGAGCGACAAGGAGCAAUCUGAGGUGGCGACCGGCGGCACGGGUGAGUAACACGUAUGCAACCUGCCUGUAAGACGGGGAAUAACCCGUUGAAAGACGGACUAAUACCGCAUAAUACUAAAUUACUGCAUGGUAAUUUAUUUAAACAUUUAUGGCUUACAGAUGGGCAUGCGCAUGAUUAGCUAGUUGGAGAGGUAACGGCUCCCCAAGGCAACGAUCAUUAGGGGUUCUGAGAGGAAGGUCCCCCACACUGGUACUGAGACACGGACCAGACUCCUACGGGAGGCAGCAGUGAGGAAUAUUGGUCAAUGGACGAGAGUCUGAACCAGCCAAGUCGCGUGCAGGAAGAAUGUCCCUAUGGAUUGUAAACUGCUUUUGCAGGGGGAAUAAAGUGCAUCACGUGUGAUGUUUUGUAUGUACUCUGCGAAUAAGGAUCGGCUAACUCCGUGCCAGCAGCCGC